rnacentral:rRNA from 1 species
UACGUAGGGCGCGAGCGUUGUCCGGAAUUAUUGGGCGUAAAGAGCUCGUAGGCGGCCUGUUGCGUCCGCUGUGAAAUCCCAGGGCUCAACCCUGGGCGUGCAGUGGAUACGGGCAGGCUGGAGGCAGGCAGGGGAGAACGGAAUUCCCGGUGUAGCGGUGAAAUGCGUAGAGAUCGGGAGGAAGGCCGGUGGCGAAGGCGGCGCUCUGGAACAUUUCUGACGCUGAGGCUCGAAAGCGUGGGGAGCAAACAGG